GUCAAAAUGGCUUGGCAUGCCAAAGACAGCUACAAGAAGCUGGUGGAGAAGCUGCAGCUGAACAGCACAUGAGUUGUAUGGAGAGGCCUGUAACUCAUCGCUGGACUUGGACAUAGUAGCGCCAGAGGAAUAGCUGAUUAAGACUAGAGCUGCGCCAAUAAUUUAGAUCAGUUGUUCAACAGAUUUGAUUCCAUCCUCGCUUCCUCUGCUGCCACCCCCUCCCUCCUUGAUACCUCUCAAUUCUGCAGACUAUUACCUGAUUAUCUCAAGCUUCCAUAUCAAUUGCCUGAUGGGUUCCUUAAGACAUGCCCACAACAGAAAAGAACACAUUUGAGAAUUUUGUUAGUGAACUUAAAGUUGGCCAGACCAAGUAAAUCUCAAAUAAUUUGUAUAUUAUGAUUUUUUUUUAUUACAUUGCUGUGCAAUCAGGAUGCUUAUUUUAUUUAAUAUUUAAUUAAAUAAUAAUUCGGUCUGUCAAGUAUUGUCCUGGGAAUACAAGCCCAAUAUGGUGGUGGCAUUAGGACAAUAGAUGAAAGAGUGAUUUGAGCACCUUGUCGGGAUCUGGGUUGUUUUUGUGUGUUUUGUGCUUGCAACUUGUGUUCAGCGUUUCAGACGGUGCUGGAGUUCUCAGGUGUGCUGGGUGACAGGUGCGACUUGUUCUGCUGAUUGCUUGGAGGAGUACUUAAGCAGGAGGCUGCCAGCACUUCGACGCCAGAGUGUUUGCCUUCUGUGGUAACAAGCUCAGCCAAUGCUAAGUCUAUGCUUUGUCUCUCGUUUUUUUAGAAUAACUUUGUUUAUGUGCUUUUGCAGACUACGCAUCUGGAUUUUUGGAUUUAUGUCACUGGAUUUUGUACUUCGAAAACUAAGAGUUUCCUGGUUGACCUACGUUCUGAGGAUUUCGUUUCCUAACUAUUGUUUCGUCUGUAUCACCGAUCAAGCUGGCAGUUUCUUGCUUCCUUCAUCUCCUGGACCAAGAUCUAAGCGUAACCCUAUCCACCCUCCACCGCAAGUAUCAGCACAAAGAAACUAACUCAACUUUCUCCAAGCUCACCUACAAAACACCUAAGUGACCAACAGAAAAUACUCGGCUUCUACAACUCAGAUCCCGCAUCCCCCUACCCCUGGCGACCUGACCACAUCCACUCAUUGGACUUUUUGCCCGUUUACGUUCCAGAUCAUUUUGUGUCAAAAUAAACAUGUUUUCAUUUUUU